AAGAACGCUGGCGGGGUUCCUAAUUCCUGCAAGUUGAACGGACCGUAGGGAGGCUUUUCCUUUUAGUUAACGGCGGGAGGGGGAGUAACACGUGGGCAACCUGCCCCCCAGAACGGGGAAAAUUUGGGAAACCGGAGAUAAUACCGGAAAACACCGAAAACCGCCUGGUUUUCGGUUGAAAAGAGGGCUUUAGCUGUCACUGCAGGAUGGGCCCGCGGCGCAUUAGCUAGUUGGUGAGGUAACGGCUCACCAAGGGGACGAUGCGUAGCCGACCUGAGAGGGUGACCGGCCCCACUGGGACUGAGACACGGCCCCGACUCCUACGGGAGGCAGCAGUAGGGAAUUUUUCGCAAUGGACGAAAGUCUGACGGAGCAACGCCGCGUGAGCGAAGAAGGUCUUUGGAUUGUAAAGCUCUGUUGUCAGGGAAGAACAAGUACCGUUCGAACAGGGCGGUACCUUGACGGUACCUGACGAGGAAGCCACGGCUAACUACGUGCCAGCAGCCGCGGUAAUACGUAGGUGGCAAGCGUUGUCCGGAAUUAUUGGGCGUAAAGCGCGCGCAGGCGGUUCCUUAAGUCUGAUGUGAAAUCUCGCGGCUCAACCGCGAGCGGCCAUUGGAAACUGGGGAACUUGAGUGCAGGAGAGGGGAGCGGAAUUCCACGUGUAGCGGUGAAAUGCGUAGAGAUGUGGAGGAACACCAGUGGCGAAGGCGGCUCUCUGGCCUGUAACUGACGCUGA
rnacentral:rRNA from 1 species